GACAGAGACUGACUGAAACAAAGAGAGAGAGAGAGAGAGAGAGAACGACUGACAGACACUACAAAGACCGUUGUUGGGCCCAGUUGUACCUCCUUGCUGUGCCGUUCUCUCUCCACCAGCUGCAGAGAGGAGACAGUGGCUUGCAGUCUGACCUCUGCCUGGACCCCGCACCUGCACCUCCUAUAGAAGACAACACACAGGCUCUCACAGCGAGUGUAUCCUGCAGCUCCCCAGUCAUCCUCUGGAGUUCUUGUGUUGCUCUCUCCCGACACACAGGUGCUGGCUCUGCUGCAGAGUCCUGGAGCAAUAGGUCAAAGGUUAUGGUCUCUGAUGACCACGUCCAACUGGCCCAGCUGAGGAAGAGGAGGGAGAGAGAGAAAGGCCUUAUUUCUUAUAAUUCCAUCCAUUAAGACUUUGGCCAUUCAAAUUAAAUACACUAUAACGCGCCACGCAA